rnacentral:rRNA from 1 species
GUCGAGCGGUAAGGCCCUUCGGGGUACACGAGCGGCGAACGGGUGAGUAACACGUGGGUGAUCUGCCCUGCACUUCGGGAUAAGCCUGGGAAACUGGGUCUAAUACCGGAUAUGACCUUCGGCUGCAUGGCUGAGGGUGGAAAGGUUUACUGGUGCAGGAUGGGCCCGCGGCCUAUCAGCUUGUUGGUGGGGUAAUGGCCUACCAAGGCGACGACGGGUAGCCGACCUGAGAGGGUGACCGGCCACACUGGGACUGAGACACGGCCCAGACUCCUACGGGAGGCAGCAGUGGGGAAUAUUGCACAAUGGGCGAAAGCCUGAUGCAGCGACGCCGCGUGAGGGAUGACGGCCUUCGGGUUGUAAACCUCUUUCAGCAGGGACGAAGCGAAAGUGACGGUACCUGCAGAAGAAGCACCGGCUAACUACGUGCCAGCAGCCGCGGUAAUACGUAGGGUGCAAGCGUUGUCCGGAAUUACUGGGCGUAAAGAGCUCGUAGGCGGUUUGUCGCGUCGUCUGUGAAAACUCGAGGCUCAACCUCGAGCUUGCAGGCGAUACGGGCAGACUUGAGUACUGCAGGGGAGACUGGAAUUCCUGGUGUAGCGGUGA